AGCGAACGCUGGCGGCAAGCUUAACACAUGCAAGUCGAACGAUGUAGCAAUACAUAGUGGCGGACGGGUGUAUAACACGUGGGAAUCUACCCUUAGGUUCGGAAUAACUCAGGGAAACUUGAGCUAAUACCGUAUAAUAUCUCCGGAUCAAAGAUUUAUCGCCUAAGGAUGAGCCCGCGGUGGAUUAGCUAGUUGGUGGG
rnacentral:rRNA from 1 species